rnacentral:rRNA from 1 species
ACGGCUCAGUAACACGUGGAUAACCUGCCCUUGGGUCCGGCAUAACCCCGGGAAACUGGGGAUAAUUCCGGAUAACGCAUAUAUGCUGGAAUGCUUUAUGCGUCAAAUGGAUUCGUCUGCCCAAGGAUGGGUCUGCGGCCUAUCAGGUAGUAGUGGGUGUAAUGUACCUACUAGCCAACAACGGGUACGGGUUGUGAGAGCAAGAGCCCGGAGAUGGAUUCUGAGACAUGAAUCCAGGCCCUACGGGGCGCAGCAGGCGCGAAAACUUUACAAUGCGGGAAACCGUGAUAAGGGGACACCGAGUGCCAGCAUCAUAUGCUGGCUGUCCAGGUGUGUAAAAUACACCUGUUAGCAAGGGCCGGGCAAGACCGGUGCCAGCCGCCGCGGUAACACCGGCGGCCCGAGUGGUGAUCGUGAUUAUUGGGUCUAAAGGGUCCGUAGCCGGUUUGGUCAGUCCUCCGGGAAAUCUGAUAGCUUAACUAUUAGGCUUUCGGGGGAUACUGCCAGGCUUGGAACCGGGAGAGGUAAGAGGUACUACAGGGGUAGGAGUGAAAUCUUGUAAUCCCUGUGGGACCACCUGUGGCGAAGGCGUCUUACCAGAACGGGUUCGACGGUGAGGGACGAAAGCUGGGGGCACGAACCGGAUUAGAUACCCGGGUAGUCCCAGCCGUAAACGAUGCUCGCUAGGUGUCAGGCAUGGCGCGACCGUGUCUGGUGCCGCAGGGAAGCCGUGAAGCGAGCCACCUGGGAAGUACGGCCGCAAGGCUGAAACUUAAAGGAAUUGGCGGGGGAGCAC